GAGGGUAUAGCUCAGUGGUAGAGCGCAUGCUUAACAUGCAUGAGGUCCUGGGUUCAGUCCCCAAUAUCUCCA
rnacentral:tRNA from 1 species